UGCCAGCCGCCGCGGUAAUACGGAGGGGGUUAGCGUUGUUCGGAAUUACUGGGCGUAAAGCGCACGUAGGCGGAUUAGUAAGUUAGAGGUGAAAUCCCAGGGCUCAACCCUGGAACUGCCUUUAAUACUGCUAGUCUUGAGUUCGAGAGAGGUAAGUGGAAUUCCGAGUGUAGAGGUGAAAUUCGUAGAUAUUCGGAGGAACACCAGUGGCGAAGGCGGCUUCCUGGCUCACAACUGACGCUCAUGUACGAAAGCGUGGGUAGCAAACAGGAUUAGAUA
rnacentral:rRNA from 1 species